rnacentral:sRNA from 1 species
UGAGGCCUCCCCCUUCCCAAGUCCAUUCCCACUGUAGGCUGAUGCCUGUGCAAAGGAUGCAGUGCCUUAUCAGAGAGGAUCCUUGAAGAGGACUCACCCCAAGCAAGGGAAAAUUGGUGGGGGAACUUUUGCCUUCCUGGUUUCCUUGACUUUGGCCUCCUCCUCUUCCUCCUUAUCUUCUCCAACCUUCUUCCUUUAUUUGUUCCACAGACUGGACCGCAGAUCAUUACCUUGAACCACACAGACCUGGUUCCCUGCCUCUGCAUUCAGGUGUGGCCUCUGGAACCUGACUCCGUUAGGACGAACAUCUGCCCCUUCAGGGAGGACCCCCGCGCACACCGGAACCUCUGGCAAGCCGCCCGGCUGCGACUGCUGACCCUGCAGAGCUGGCUGCUGGACGCACCGUGCUGGCUGCCCGCAGAAGCGGCACUGUGCUGGCGGGCUCCGGGUGGGGACCCCUGCCAGCCACUGGUCCCACCGCUUUCCUGGGAGAAUGUCACUGUGGACAAAGUUCUCGAGUUCCCAUUGCUGAAAGGCCACCCUAACCUCUGUGUUCAGGUGAACAGCUCGGAGAAGCUGCAGCUGCAGGAGUGCUUGUGGGCUGAGGGCAGCUCGCCUUGGAGAGUACUUACUACAAGACCUGCAGUCAGGCCAGUGUCUGCAGCUAUGGGAUGAUGACUUGGGAGCACUAUGGGCCUGCCCCAUGGACAAAUACAUCCACAAGCGCUGGGCCCUCGUGUGGCUGGCCUGCCUACUCUUUGCCGCUGCGCUUUCCCUCAUCCUCCUUCUCAAAAAGGAUCACGCGAA